rnacentral:rRNA from 1 species
GACGGAGGAUGCAAGUGUUAUCCGGAAUCACUGGGCGUAAAGCGUCUGUAGGUGGUUUAAUAAGUCAACUGUUAAAUCUUGAGGCUCAACCUCAAAAUCGCAGUCGAAACUAUUAGGCUAGAGUAUGUAGGGUAGGAAGGGAAUUUCCAGUGGAGCGGUGAAAUGCGUAGAGUAUUGGAAAGACCACCGAUGGCGAAGGCAC